rnacentral:rRNA from 1 species
UACGUAGGGUGCGAGCGUUGUCCGGAAUUAUUGGGCGUAAAGAGCUUGUAGGCGGUUUGUCGCGUCUGCUGUGAAAAUCCGGGCUCAACCCCGGACUUGCAGUGGGUACGGCAGACUAGAGUGUGGUAGGGGAGACUGGAAUUCCUGGUGUAGCGGUGGAAUGCGCAGAUAUCAGGAGGAACACCGAUGGCGAAGGCAGGUCUCUGGGCCAUUACUGACGCUGAGAAGCGAAAGCAUGGGGAGCGAACAGG